rnacentral:tRNA from 1 species
GCAGUGGUGGUUCAGUGGUAAAAUUCUUGUCUUCUUUGCUGGAGACCUGGGUUCUAUUCCCAGUCAAUGCA